rfam:Trichobilharzia regenti genome assembly, scaffold: TRE_scaffold0038384
AUCCAGCAGGAGGACGAGUCCCAAACAGGACGAAAUGCGCAUCCUGGAU